rnacentral:lncRNA from 1 species
GCCAGAAUCCAGAGGUGCUGUUGCUGGGCUGCGCACAAUAUAACAUAUGCAAGCCCAUAAUGCAAAAAGAAACGCUCAUGGAGGCAUACAAUUGUAUGCUG